rnacentral:sRNA from 1 species
UCUGAACGAUGACUUUUUGAGUAGUUGGUUGAGCGUUUUGGACAAUUUCAUUACGUGAGCGGCAAUCGUUGUUCAAGGAUAUCUGUGCGUGUGUAUGCAAGUGUGUGUCUGUGUGUGUGUGUGUGUGUGUGUCAGAUACAUAGAUACUGGGGAUGAGGCAGAA